rnacentral:rRNA from 1 species
CCUACGGGUAGCAGCAGUGGGGAAUAUUGGACAAUGGGCGAAAGCCUGAUCCAGCCAUGCCGCGUGUGUGAAGAAGGCCUUCGGGUUGUAAAGCACUUUCAGUGGGGAAGAAAGCCUUGGGGCUAAUACCCUCGAGGAAGGACAUCACCCACAGAAGAAGCACCGGCUAACUCCGUGCCAGCAGCCGCGGUAAUACGGAGGGUGCGAGCGUUAAUCGGAAUUACUGGGCGUAAAGCGCGCGUAGGCGGUCUGAUAAGCCGGUUGUGAAAGCCCCGGGCUCAACCUGGGAACGGCAUCCGGAACUGUCAGGCUAGAGUGCAGGAGAGGAAGGUAGAAUUCCCGGUGUAGCGGUGAAAUGCGUAGAGAUCGGGAGGAAUACCAGUGGCGAAGGCGGCCUUCUGGACUGACACUGACGCUGAGGUGCGAAAGCGUGGGUAGCAAACAGGAUUAGAUACCCGGGUAGUC